GCUAUCGGGGUUCGAUUAAGCCAUGCGAGUCGAGAGGUGCAAGACCUCGGCGCACUGCUCAGUAACACGUGGAUAACCUACCCUCAGGAGGGGGAUAACCCCGGGAAACUGGGGAUAAUACCCCAUAGACCAGGGACGCUGGAAUGCCUCCUGGUCCAAAGGUCCGCCGCCUGAGGAUGGGUCUGCGGCCGAUUAGGUUGUUGUUGGGGUAACGGCCCAACAAGCCUUUGAUCGGUACGGGUUGUGAGAGCAAGAGCCCGGAGAUGGAUUCUGAGACACGAAUCCAGGCCCUACGGGGCGCAGCAGGCGCGAAAACUUUACAAUGCGAGAAAUCGUGAUAAGGGAACCCCGAGUGCCCGUAAAUUCGGGCUGUCCAUCAGUGUAAAUAACUGGUGAAGAAAGGGCCGGGCAAGACCGGUGCCAGCCGCCGCGGUAAUACCGGCGGCUCGAGUGGUGGCCACUAUUACUGGGCUUAAAGCGUCCGUAGCUUGAUUGUUAAGUCUCUUGGGAAA
rnacentral:rRNA from 1 species